rnacentral:rRNA from 1 species
UACGAAGGGGGCUAGCGUUGCUCGGAAUCACUGGGCGUAAAGGGUGCGUAGGCGGUUAUGUAAGACAGAUGUGAAAUGCCCGGGCUUGACCUGGGAACUGCAUUUGUGACUGCAUGGCUAGAGUGUGUCAGAGGGGGGUAGAAUUCCACGUGUAGCAGUGAAAUGCGUAGAGAUGUGGAGGAAUACCGGUGGCGAAGGCGGCCUCCUGGUUCAAUACUGACGCUGAGGUGCGAAAGCGUGGGGAGCAAACAGG